GCCUGAUGAGAAUUCUUGGACUUCCAGGGUCUCUGACCCUACCGGCCGAGCCUGAUGAGAAUUCUUGGACUUCCAGGGUCUCUGACCCUACUGGUUGAGCCUGAUGAGAAGUCUUGGACUUCCGGGGUCUCUGAUCCUACCGGCCGAGCCUGAUGAGAAGUCUUGUACUUCCAGGGUCUCUGACCCUACUGACCAAGCCUGAUGAGAAGUCUUGGACUUCCAGAGUCUAUGACCCUACCGGCCUAGCCCGACGAGAGGUGUCCAGAGCAUAGGUGCAAGCGGGACAGGGCCGCUUGUCGUCCUAGAUGUCUUAGACUUCCAGGGUCUCUGAUCCUACCGGCCGAGCCUGAUGAGAAGUCUUGGACUUCCAGGGUCUCUGACCCUACCGGCCGAGCCAGACGAGAGGUGACUAGAGCAUACAUGCAAGCGGGACAGGGACACUUGUCGUCCUAGAUGUCUUAGACUUCCAGGGUCUCUGACCCUACCGACCGAGCCUGAUGAGAAGUCUUGGACUUCCAGGGUCUCUGACCCUACCUGCCGAGCCAGACGAGAGGUGUCUAGAGCAUACGUGCAAGCGAGACAGGGCCGCUUGUCGUCCUAGAAGUCUUAGGCUUCCAGGGUCUCUGACCCUACCGGCCGAGCCUGAGGAGAAGUCUUGGACUUCCAUGGUCUCUGACCCUACCGGCCGAGCCUGAUAAGAAGUCUUGGACUUCCAGAGUCUCUGACCCUACCGUCCAAGCCUGCUGAGAGGUGUCCAGAGCAUACGUGCAAGCGGGACAGGGCCGCCUGCCAUCCUGGAAGUCUUGGACUUCCAGAGUGUCUGGCCCUAACAGCCAAGCCCAAAGAUAGGACUCAGAAACGGAUGCGCAGUAUCAGCUUUAAACGCAAUGUCGAGAGACUGUUCUCGAAAGGGAACAAUGUAAAGCUAGGCAAACACUAAACAUACUAGCCUAAACUGAACUAUUAACUUCACAGUAAACUAAACUUUAUAUAACUAGAUUUAAUAGACUGUACACAGGAAACAUACAAACGAAUCAGCACAGGACAGCAAACACAAGCUUAUCAAGAUGUGGGGCAUAUACUGUAACAAUAGCAAGAUAAUUAACAAACAAUGGCAAUGUGCUUUCACACAAAACAAGUAACGUUGUCACGAUCCUGACACAAGACUAGAAAAGCAUGAAUGAUAGAGGCAGGAUCGUGACAUAUGGUGAAAUUGUCAUAUUUUUUUCUUUAACCUCUUCUGUGAGUUUAAUUUGUUUUACAGAUAAUAAAAACACUUGAUAGAAUGUUGUUGGAUGAACAACUCAUAUCUUAAAUCGCUCAAUCAUGUUCGGCCAUCAACUCUCAGCAUCAAUGAUGAGGCACUUGAGGCGUGGCAGACUGUGCAGAAUGGCACAUCUCAAAACCUGCAGCUGGACAAUAAGAGGUAGGAAGCUGCAGGUGAGGGGAAAAACAAAGAUGAAGCAGGAGGACCAGGCUCCAUGUCUGAUGGAAAGCUCUACAUACAGCCAUCAGUCAUUCAGAACACCUGAGAGGAUGCUGCACAUUCACUGUGCUGAAAAUCAAUCAGUAAAAUGAAAAAUAAAAGACGUUUUGAUUUAAUUUGUCAAUUUUGCAAUCUUGGACCAACAACUGCUUAUGUCAGUGGUGUAAUCAUGAAAUACUUCCUAAACCAGCAGUUGUCAUAGAGAUGUAACACAGUACUGAUUUUUUUUUCUUUCACUUACAAUAUAACAAAGAUGUUUUUUUCUGAAU